ACACACACAGUCUUAAUGCUUUUCACUCGGUUUUUCACUCUGCUCUCCUGUGGAUCUCUGCUCUACGUCCUCGCUACGUCUCUCUCGCUCUCGCUCAACAUCUGCUCUCUGCACACGCUCAAAUCUGCCUUCACGCUCGGUCAACUCUGCACGGCGUUACAAAUGUGCCACAAUUCCAGCCAAUCACAGACUUCUGAUUCUAUCCAAUCGGGUCCCUGUUUCGGCCGCCUCUCGGAAGCGCUGUUAAAAACGAUCGCUAAAUCAACUGGAGUUCUGCUAUAUACGCUGGACUACGACAGAUUUUCGAAAGUCAGUCCUGCUUCCGCAACAAAACGAGGGAUUUAGCAGAUGUGCUAGCUAAACAACAUGACAGAUCCAAAUAAUGACAACCCAAAUACUCCGCCACCAUGUCAGAUUUCAAAGGUCCUGGCUGAAACAUUCCCAAAAAUGGAAGAUCUUUAUGGGGGAUGGCUCUUGCAUAAGGCAACAGUGAACACUUUCAGGUUGAACAUGUGGCUGAUGCACAGUCUCUGAUGUUGUUGGCUGAUGAAGUUAUAAACUGUGGAUACACAAGCCAGAUCAAGCUGGAUAAUAAACAAAACAUCAUUCGACUGAUUCCAAUGCUUCAGCCAGUGAGAAAGGGCAUGGAACUGUAUGGUCUGCUCAGUCAGAGGGCUGCAAACCCUGAAGCUUUACACACUCUUUGUUCCUGGGAAGAUCAUCAAAAUGCUGAUUUCAUAAUGAUGAACUGCCGACCACAGCUCAGUGAAAAGGGGACAUCUCGGGAGAGAACUGAAAGAUUAUAAACUUCAUGCAAGAUUUUUGCCAGGAGCUUGAAAUAUCAGUGCUGCAGUUGAGGAGCCCCACUCUCUUGGAGUUCAGCAUGUGCUCCAGUGGUUGACUGGGAAAGCUCACAUUCCCAUCCUCCCUGAUGAAAAGAGACAUUUCAAAAUAACAUUCAUGUUUGACCACGACUGCAGAGAGCCACUUGGAGAUCACUCCAUUUGUUACCAAACUGUGAGUGCAUGCACUCGUACAGUAACUUUUCCAGUGCAGCAUCUCAACACUUACACUGAAUUCAGAAGACUUAUGAGUGAAGCAGUUAGAUAUGGUGGUGGCUUCCACAGAGUUUAACAGAAACAGCCCUCUGGUAAUCUGAAACAAAAAAUGAGAAGCUAUUUCUAAACAUUAACUGAUAGAAUAUGUUCAUAGCUAAUGAAAAAAGCAAAACAAUUGUUCCUGUUAGCUCAGUGUUUGACUUCCUCUUCAGUCAUACAGAUUCCCUUUAUACAGGGUUCUCUUGCUUUUAUUAGUUAGAAAAGCUUCAAUCAUUUUUGUCACUGUGCUGGAAUAUUUGUUGACUUUCAAGUUCUUGUCCAAAUGUCUAUUGGUUGGACACCUGUUGCAAGAACCUGAUGUAUAAGUCACGACCAUGUGACUCUGAGUGUUCCAGAGGGUUGAUAGUUCUCUGAAGUUCUUCCAGGGCUUCAUCAUCCAGUGGGCACUCAAAUUCAGGAACCACAACUGUGCCAUGAGAGUCUUCCUGCAGCACAGCACUCUGCCAGUCAAUGCCUGGGCCCUGAAGGUCCUUCGAAU